rnacentral:miRNA from 1 species
UCCAUCUCCCAGCCGUGCCUGCC